rnacentral:snRNA from 1 species
GGACUUUGAAAAGAGAGUC